rnacentral:rRNA from 1 species
GCGUGAGUGAUGAAGGCCCUAGGGUUGUAAAGCUCUUUCGGCGGGGAAGAUAAUGACGGUACCCGCAGAAGAAGCCCCGGCCAACUUCGUGCCAGCAGCCGCGGUAAUACGAAGGGGGCUAGCGUUGCUCGGAAUCACUGGGCGUAAAGCGCACGUAGGCGGGUUGCUAAGUCGGGGGUGAAAUCCUGGAGCUCAACUCCAGAACUGCCUUCGAUACUGGCGGCCUUGAGUCCGGGAGAGGUGAGUGGAACUCCGAGUGUAGAGGUGAAAUUCGU